UACAGAGGUGGCAAGCGUUGUUCGGAAUUACUGGGCGUAAAGGGUGCGCAGGCGGCCAAGUGUGUUAGGCGUGAAAGCCCGGGGCUUAACCCCGGAAUUGCACCUAAAACUACAUGGCUAGAGCAUUGGAGAGGGUAGCGGAAUUCACGGUGUAGCAGUGAAAUGCGUAGAUAUCGUGAGGAACACCAGAGGCGAAGGCGGCUACCUGGACAAUUGCUGACGCUCAGGCACGAAAGCGUGGGGAGCAAAAGGG
rnacentral:rRNA from 1 species